UACGGAGGGGGCUAGCGUUGUUCGGAAUUACUGGGCGUAAAGCGCACGUAGGCGGAUCGAUCAGUCAGGGGUGAAAUCCCAGGGCUCAACCCUGGAACUGCCUUUGAUACUGUCGAUCUGGAGUAUGGAAGAGGUGAGUGGAAUUCCGAGUGUAGAGGUGAAAUUCGUAGAUAUUCGGAGGAACACCAGUGGCGAAGGCGGCUCACUGGUCCAUUACUGACGCUGAGGUGCGAAAGCGUGGGGAGCAAACAGG
rnacentral:rRNA from 1 species